GAAUAAAGUUCCCCCCAGUCUCUCGCCUGAACAUGUCAAACUGUGGUUGCUGGAGAGAAAAAACUUCCAGCAAGAAUUCCAAGAAACGCAAAAGAGAAUGGAAGCCAGGAUGUUCAAGCACCUUAAUGUGGCCUGGACAAAGGCGAGGA